GGUUGCGUGGUGUAAUGGUUAUCACUUCAGACUCUGAAUCUGACAAUCUGAGUUCGAAUCUCGGCGCGACCA
rfam:chromosome VI of strain GB-M1 of Encephalitozoon cuniculi (Microspora)